rnacentral:rRNA from 1 species
AUGUUCCCAUUUUCAAAAAAUCAUAAAUUAAAAAAAUGUUCUUGUUUCAAAAAAACUUUUGGAAUUUCAAAAAAUGUUUGCAGUUGCAAUUUUGUUCUGAAAUUCAAAAAAUUUCGCGUUUCAAGAAUUUCAGAAAAUGUUCGUGGUUUCAAACUUUUUAUUAGAUGUCCCAUGGAAUGUUUCAUUUUUCAAAUUUUUGUUCACAGAUUCAAAAAAUGUUCACGGUUUCAAAUUUUUGUUCGGAAUUUCAUGAAAUGUUCCAUUUUUAAAAUAUUUGUUCACAAAUUCAAAAAAUGUUCGCGGUAUGAAAAUUUGUUCGGAAUUUCAUAA